CUUCCCUGCUUCUCAGCACUUCUUUCCUCUGGGAUGCCUUCCUUGAUCGUUCCCCGCUGACUCACCCAUCUCUACCUUGGCCUUUUGAGGUCACUGGUUUCACAGCAGACACGCAGUGUGACUGAGGUCUAAGUUUAGAGGCUGAGUGUUAUUCAGGAAGCAGCCUGGGGCCCAGGAAAGGCAUGAGAAUUCACCACUGGCCACUAUCUCUUUGUACUUCCUGUGGACUAGUCUGUUACUCAUGGGCAGUCCUUUAGGUGACAAUUAAUCAACCUUGGUUGGCAGAUGAGAAAAAUGAGACUCUGAGAGACCAGCCAACUAGCCACACAGCAGAACUCUCAGCACCACAUGACGUAAGAAUGGCAGCGGCUUCAGGCUGAGGGCAAUAGGUCUCCCAAGGGAGCAGCAGCAUGGAUGAUGAUAAAAAAACACUCUGCAGAACAUCUCCGAGCCUCUCCUUCAGUCCCCAGACUCCUCUCUGGCUUUCCUCAGCCCUCCCAUGGCUUGUUCUCUGGAUCAUGAUUGAAAUGACUGAAUGAAGCGGGGAUUGCCCUUCUGUUUGCAUGUGGACAGAGACCUUCACACCUUAACUUCCACAUGACUUGUGAAGAACCAUCCUUUGGGGGACACGGAGAUUGGUGGGGACGUAUCUGGAGGUCUGAGUCUCAGGAACCUUUUGCCAAUCCCAUGAAGUCCCAUGAGAGGCUACUAGACUGCCUCCCACAGCAGGAUCUCAGCCUGUGA
rnacentral:lncRNA from 1 species